UCCCUAGUGGACCAGUGGUUAGAACUUGGCAUUUUCACUGCCAAGGGCCCAGGUUCAAUCCCUGGUUUGGGAA
rfam:Ovis aries breed Texel chromosome 1, whole genome shotgun sequence.